rnacentral:lncRNA from 13 species
UGUUAUCUCUUCAUCUUGUCCGCUUUGGAUUUGUCCCAGAUUGUACUUUAUUAUUUUGAACUAAGUGCUGUUAUUUAUUAUUGUGUAAAAGAGGCCAGGAAGGAGGGAGCCUGGGUAGCCCAGUUGGUAGAGCAUCAGACUUUUAAUCUGAGAGUCCAGGGUUCAAGUCCCUGUUCAGGUAUGUCCCUUGAGUUUUAGCGUCUAAUUCCGACUCAAUUUUUGAAAAAGAAAACAACGAAAUCAGCCAGGAGGGGUAGGUAGAGAGAGCUGCCUUUUGUUCCACCAGCUCCGGCCGAGGUCUCAUAUACCUGCGUGUGAGAUGCUAGUUUGGAGUUCUCCUUUGAAUUCGUCGUCAGGUUUGAAAGAUUACCAGUGCUACCCAACCCCUUUUUCCACUCUGUUCCAGACACAAGGUAACUGACAACCAUUCUCAAAGGGUGUGAAGUGCACUCAGAUACAAGCACGUGGGAUUAGCCAGGUUCUCCAGGUACAUCACUGCAAAGAAUAAGGACUACAUAUUCCAGCCUCCCUGGCAGCUGGGUGUGAAGAUGUGACUAAGUCUGUAUGGACUUGAAAAGGAGAACAAGGAACAAGUAUAAAAUAUCCCCGUCUCAUGACCCUGUCGAGUUCCGAGGGAAAUGAACAUAUGAAAGACUGCGGGACAUCCUUGCAAAAGAGGCGCAAGGCUCCUGACUCCUGAGGAGGACUCUGCCGCCUGCUGGCCCCGUUAGACGGAGGGCUCUCCUAGCAUCUUAUUCUUGUUUGGAGGUUUUCAAAGACCACAUAUGGUCUCCAGGACUGGAGGAGUCUGAAUCGCAGUUCUUCCCAGAUGGAGUCUCACUCUGUCACCCAGACUGGAGUGUAGUGGUACGAUCUAGGCUCACUGCAACCUCCACUUCCCAGGUUCAAGCAAUUCUCGUACCUCAGCCUCCUGAGCAGCUGGGACUACAGGUGAGAGCCUCCACACCUGGCUAGUUUUUGUGUUUUUAGUAGAGGCAGGGUUUCGCCAUGUUGGCCAGGCUGGUCUUGAACUCCUGACGGCAGGUGAUCCACCUACCUCGGCCUCCCAAAGUGCUGGGAUUACAGAUGUGAGCCACCAUGCUCGGCCCAGAUGAUCCUUUGUUGUGGGGUUGCCCUGUGUCUUUUAGUAUGUUUAACAUUAUCCCUGACCUCCACCUUCUAGAUAUUACCCUAGAUUGCAGAUGCACUGCCAGCCCCAGGCAUGGCAAAUAAAAAUAUCUCCAGAUUUUGCCA